AGUGAACGCUGGCGGUAGGCCUAACACAUGCAAGUCGAACGGCAGCACAGUAAGAGCUUGCUCUUACGGGUGGCGAGUGGCGGACGGGUGAGGAAUACAUCGGAAUCUACUUUUUCGUGGGGGAUAACGUAGGGAAACUUACGCUAAUACCGCAUACGACCUACGGAUGAAAGCAGGGGAUCUUCGGACCUUGCGCGAUUGAAUGAGCCGAUGUCGGAUUAGCUAGUUGGCGGGGUAAAGGCCCACCAAGGCGACGAUCCGUAGCUGGUCUGAGAGGAUGAUCAGCCACACUGGAACUGAGACACGGUCCAGACUCCUACGGGAGGCAGCAGUGGGGAAUAUUGGACAAAGGGCGCAAGCCUGAUCCAGCCAUACCGCGUGGGUGAAGAAGGCCUUCGGGUUGUAAAGCCCUUUUGUUGGGAAAGAAAAGCAGCAGGUUAAUACCCCGCUGUUCUGACGGUACCCAAAGAAUAAGCACCGGCUAACUUCGUG
rnacentral:rRNA from 1 species